rnacentral:rRNA from 1 species
ACUUUACAAUGCGGGAAACCGCGAUAAGGGGACACUGAGUGCCAGCAUAUUAUGUUGGCUGUCCACAUGUAUAAAUACCAUGUGUUAGCAAGGGCCGGGCAAGACCGGUGCCAGCCGCCGCGGUAACACCGGCGGCCCGAGUGGUGAUCACUUUUAUUGGGUCUAAAGGGUCCGUAGCCGGUUUGAUCAGUCCUCUGGGAAAUCUGACAGCUCAACUGUUAGGCUUCCAGGGGAUACUGUCAGACUUGGGACCGGGAGAGGUAAGAGGUACUACAGGGUAGGAGUGAAAUCUUGUAAUCCCUGUGGGACCACCAGUGGCGAAGGCGUCUUACCAGAACGGGUCCGACGGGUGAGGGACGAAAGCUGGGGGCACGAACCGGAUUA